AGAGUUUGAUCCUGGCUCAGGAUGAACGCUAGCGGCAGGCUUAACACAUGCAAGUCGAGGGGCAUCGGGAGGGAAGCUUGCUUUCCUUGCCGGCGACCGGCGCACGGGUGAGUAACACGUAUGCAACCUGCCCUCUUCAGGGGGACAACCUUCCGAAAGGGAGGCUAAUCCCGCGUAUAUCGGUUUCGGGCAUCCGAGAUCGAGGAAAGAUUCAUCGGAAGAGGAUGGGCAUGCGGCGCAUUAGCUAGACGGCGGGGUAACGGCCCACCGUGGCGACGAUGCGUAGGGGUUCUGAGAGGAAGGUCCCCCACACUGGUACUGAGACAUGGACCAGACUCCUACGGGAGGCAGCAGUGAGGAAUAUUGGUCAAUGGGAGAGAUCCUGAACCAGCCAAGCCGCGUGAGGGAAGACGGCCCUAUGGGUUGUAAACCUCUUUUGUCGGAGAACAAAACCCGGGACGAGUCCCGGACUGCGUGUAUCCGAAGAAAAAGCAUCGGCUAACUCCGUGCCAGCAGCCGCGGUAAUACGGAGGAUGCGAGCGUUAUCCGGAUUUAUUGGGUUUAAAGGGUGCGUAGGCGGUCCGUUAAGUCAGCGGUAAAAUUGCGGGGCUCAACCCCGUCGAGCCGUUGAAACUGGCAGACUUGAGUUGGCGAGAAGUACGCGGAAUGCGCGGUGUAGCGGUGAAAUGCAUAGAUAUCGCGCAGAACUCCGAUUGCGAAGGCAGCGUACCGGCGCCAGACUGACGCUGAGGCACGAAAGCGUGGGGAUCGAACAGGAUUAGAUACCCUGGUAGUCCACGCAGUAAACGAUGAAUGCUGGUUGUCCGGGUCGAAUGAGAUCUGGGCGGCGAAGCGAAAGCGAUAAGCAUUCCACCUGGGGAGUACGCCGGCAACGGUGAAACUCAAAGGAAUUGACGGGGGCCCGCACAAGCGGAGGAACAUGUGGUUUAAUUCGAUGAUACGCGAGGAACCUUACCCGGGCUCAAACGGGAGUGGAAUGGACCAGAGACGGUUCAGCCUACGGGCCGCUUCCGAGGUGCUGCAUGGUUGUCGUCAGCUCGUGCCGUGAGGUGUCGGCUUAAGUGCCAUAACGAGCGCAACCCCCGCCGGCAGUUGCUAACGGGCAAUGCCGAGGACUCUGCCGGGACUGCCGCCGCAAGGCGAGAGGAAGGCGGGGAUGACGUCAAAUCAGCACGGCCCUUACGUCCGGGGCGACACACGUGUUACAAUGGGCGGUACAGCGGGAAGCCAGGCGGCGACGCCGAGCGGAACCCGAAAGCCGUUCUCAGUUCGGAUCGGAGUCUGCAACCCGACUCCGUGAAGCUGGAUUCGCUAGUAAUCGCGCAUCAGCCAUGGCGCGGUGAAUACGAUCCCGGGUCUUGUACACACCGCCCGUCA
rnacentral:rRNA from 1 species